UAUGAUUUCUUCUGGAACCAAAGGAUUGGCUCCUAGCUGUUCCAAGAGAUAUGAAAGCUGGGGACUGAUAUCAAGGAUGAGAAGGCCUGGAGCUGGGCAGUUCCAUGGUGGUCAACGAUGAGGCGGAGAUAUGUGUAAACAGCCAUGGCAAUGAGGAUGCUGCUCUUCAGGACCCACUCCCUGCAGGGAGGGAAGACACUGGUUCCUACCCCUGCCCAGACCAAUUACCCCCGAGUCACCCCCCUGAGCUUAGCUCCAGUGCCUCAGAAUUGACUAAUGAUUAGACA